rnacentral:misc_RNA from 1 species
UGUGGCCACACAGGACCAGUG